GAUGAACGCUGACAGAAUGCUUAACACAUGCAAGUCCACUUGAAUUUGGGUUUUUAACUUCGGUUUGGGUGGCGGACGGGUGAGUAACGCGUAAAGAACUUGCCUCACAGCUAGGGACAACAUUUGGAAACGAAUGAUAAUACCUAAUAUUAUGAUAAUAGGGCAUCCUAUAAUUAUGAAAGCUAUAAGCGCUGUGAGAGCGCUUUGCGUCACAGUAGCUAGUUGGAGAGGUAACGGCACACCAAGGCGAUGAUGGCUAGCCGGCCUGAGAGGGUGAACGGCCACGAGUGGUCUGAGACACGGCCGUAACGCAUACGGGAGGCAGGAGGGGAGAAUGAUGGAGAAAGGACGGAGGAGCUGAUCCAGCAAUUCUGUGGGCACGAUGAAUUGUUACGGAAGGUAAAGUGCUUUCAGUUAAAAAGAAACAAAUGACGGUACCAACAGAAGAAGUGACGGCUAAAUACGUG
rnacentral:rRNA from 1 species